UUCUCAAAUAAACUGGAGGGUCCUGGGCUGGACCAGUCCACAGUGAGGUUGGUAGACAACUGGCUUAGAGACUGCUCCCAGAGAGCUGUAACUGAUUGAAU